AACCAGUACCGUGAGGGAAAGGCGAAAAGAACCCCGGCGAGGGGAGUGAAAAAGAACCUGAAACCGUGUACGUACAAGCAGUAGGAGCCCCAUCACUCAAGUGCCUCGCACUGAGUGAUGCAAUAACAUCACCGAAAAUAGCGCCGAAUUUGCUAACAAGGUUGGUCGAUUUUUUCAAGCCGUCGCGCAGUGUACCUAGAAGUACACGAGCAACGGAAGUUAAAAAAUCGGGCAAGAUUGAACGCAAAGGCAAGCGGGACAUUUGAGGAUGGGGUGACUGCGUACCUUUUGUAUAAUGGGUCAGCGACUUAUAUUCUGUAGCAAGGUUAACCG
rnacentral:rRNA from 1 species